UGAAUUUACUUAACACUGUAGAAAGCAGGGAUUUCGGACAGGCAUGUGUUUUGGACAUACAGUUUAGCAAUUGUGGUGCAGUAAAUAAUGUGGCUACUGGACGGAAACAUGGCAGAGUUUAUGACAUGAUCACAAAGCUUGCAUUUGGGUAAAUCAAAAACUGGGUGUUUCACCUGGGACUUUCACAUCGAAACUGGCCCUUCUCCAUGACCUUCAGCACAAAAAAAGAAAGGCUAUAACUGUUACUCGUGCAGCAAAACAGUGACGCAUAAGACUUAAAACUCGAACGGCAUUCAAAGGACAGUGCAAGAAGUACAAGCGGGACCAACAUACAGUUCAAACAUAGAGGACCAAGACGUUGAAGUUACAACUAUACCCCCACCUAUACCCAAGCCUGGUCCAGCAGGGCUAGACACUACUGGGAAGGAAUUUGUUUUCUUUGAUUUGGAAACAAGAGGGUUAGAGCACACUUCUCACAUAAUUCAGAUAGCUGCAGUGCAUUCAACUGUUCAGAAGAUUUCCUUGCAAGCGUCAGAAGAAACUGGAGUGACAGUUGUUAGCGACUCUAUGCUUGUCAAGAGACAAACAGUAACAGCUGUCCCCAUCAAAUCUGCAUUGAAAAGUUUUAUAACAUUCUUACAGAAAUGUUCACCAAUUAUUUUAGUUGGGCAUAAUAUAGAGUCUUUUGAUUGUAAAGUGUUGCUCCGUGCUAUCCAUACUUGUUGAAAAAUGUUUGAGUUUCAGCAAAAUAUUUGUGGCUUUUUAGAUACUUAAAAAUGUUAAAGGAAAUAUUACCAAAUAUGAAAUCAUAUUAGCGGGAACAUUUAGUUAAAGAAGUCAUUGGUGAAUUAUACAUGGCACAUGGCGCUAUACAGGAUAUUUUAGCUUUACAAAAGUUAGUGAACUCUGUUCCUCUUGACCAAAAAUUGUUAACAAAUAUUCAUUCAGCUUUUACCGAGCAGUGUUAACAUACAAUGUGUAACUAAAUGUUGCUUCCAACAUCAAAUCUUUACAAACCAUAAUUGAUACAAAAGUUAUAAGUCAAGGUGUUGCAAGGAAAGUUGCAGGAAGUGGAUUUCAACUUAAACAUUUGAGUCCUGUAUCAAAAAGAAACGGACUGAGUGGUUUGAGGAGCCCCCUUUCAGAGGUUACAAACGGACAAAUCAGAGUAACAAAAUCAGAGAAAAUAAUAUGUACAAUAGCGAGUUAUUUGUUGCCUGACAUCUAACCAAUAUAUAUAUCUUGUAUAUAGAUAAGCUAUGAAAUCUAAUAGCUGUUACAUCAUUGUUUUUCCUUCUCGAUGACGAACGUAGUUGUGAUUCUUAUGUCAGUUGUAUUUCUCAUGUUUCACCUAAGUUGUAAGAUAUUUUUGGCAGUGCAUUAAACCACAGAUGGUGUGUGAAACAUAAUUGCCCAGCUUAUUGUAUUCUUUGUUGUUUUAAGCUUCACUGGCCAAAGGCCAGCGGGGCUUAUGUUAUGAUUCUGUGUCCGUCGUGCGUGCGUGCCUGAACGUUUCCUUUAAACAUCUUCUUCUCCUAAACUACUGGUCCAAUUGUGAUGAAAUUUCUCAGGAAUGUUCCUCUUUCAACGUUGUUCAAAUUAUGCCCCUGGGGUCAAAUUUGAUCCUGCCCCGGGGUCACAAAAUUGAACAUAUGCUUAUAUAGGGUCUAUUUUGUGAAAACUUCACAUAUUUUUUCGUCCAUAACCAUUGGGCCUUGGGCUUCCAAAUUUGGUAUGUAGUGGCAUCUUAUAGUCCUCUACCAAGUUUGUUCAAAUUAUGCCCCUAGGGUCAAGUUUGACCCUGCCCUGAGGGUCACAAAAUUGAACAUAUGCUUAUAUUAGGCAUUUUUUGUGAAAACUUUAAAAAUCUUCUUGUUCAUAUUAGUAUGGCAUAGGGCUACCAAAUUUGGUAUGUAAUGACAUGUAAUAGUUCUCUACCAAGUUUGUUCAAAUUAUGCCCCUUGGGUUAAAUUUGAAACUGCCCCGGGGGUCACAAAACUGAACAUAUGCUUAUAAAGUGCUUUAUUUGUGAAAAAAAAUUGUCCAUAUCUAUUGGGCCUAGGGCUACCAAAUUUGGUAUGUAGUGACAUCUUAUAAACCUCUACCAAAUUUGUUCAAAUAAUGCCUCUGGGGUCAACUUUGACCCUGCCGCGGGGGGUCACAAAAUUUAAUAAACGCUUGUCGAAAACCAUUCUGACUAUGGCUACCAAAUUUGGUAUGCAGGAACAUCUUAUAGUCAUCUACCAAGUUUGUUACUUUGGGUCAAAUUUGACCCUGACCCGCAGGUCACAAAAUUGAACAUUAUAUACGCUUGUAUCUUGCUUAUUUUAUGAAAACUUUAAAAAUAUUCUUGUCCUUAACUCUACAUCUAAGACUUAGGGCCACCACAUUUUGUGUGGAGUGAGAUAUAGUAGUCCUCUACAAAGUUUGCUCAAAUUAUGCCCCUGGGGUUAAAUUUGACCCAGCCAAGGUGGUCACAAAAUUGUACAUAUGCUUAAAUAGGGCCUAUAUUUAAGUAUCUGCACAUGCGGAGAAUAUUUGUUUCAGUCUUUUUCUCAGCAGUGGAGCGAUACAGGGCCAUCAUGGCCUCUUGUCUUAAAAUACACAUCACACAGUUUUAAAAAUAAUUUUAAAAUACCUAAUACAUAUGCUCAAUUUACAACCAACAACAUGGGUAACAGGUGGGUGGGGUAAUUUAAGAUGUUUAUU